UCUGGUGCCGAUGCGCUUAGGGGAAACACCCGUUCCCAUCCCGAACACGACGGUUAAGACCUAAGCGGCCGAUGGUACUAUGCUGGAGACGGCAUGGGAGAGCAGGUGGGUGCCAGGA
rnacentral:rRNA from 1 species